AGCGCCGCAGUCGGACGAUUGAGAGGGGAUGUUUACGUUUCGCUCCGUGGAAUUCCCUGAUAAUAAUUCAGAAUAAUGCCGUCUGACACUUUCUACAGAAAUGAUGAUGAUGGGAUUCUGGAUAUUCUCCAACUGGACAUCAGGGGUCAGGAACAGCAGUCUCUGCCGGGGCGUCGGGGUCUUGCUCAAGGACACGGCGGCCGGGUGGAUUCCUGCUGCCUCGGCAGCUGCCCGACAAUCUCCCUGCUCCUCAUGUGGCUGCACAAGUGCAGACAGGAACCUUGACUUUCUGACUUAUAGGUGGACAUUUUUCUUUCACUUCAUCACAGUUGCUGUUUCAGCAUGUACUCCCAGUUAUUCCUAAUCAUACAGCUGCUGUGCGUGCAGUUUUUGGGAGCUCUGACCUGCUUGAGGCAACACUACACUCAAGUGGAUUCUCAGAUUAACCGUGAACAAGCCCAAAGGAGGAGGGAAGAUGCCUCUGGAGGAGGUCAGGGUUGAUGGAAAAACACCCAGCGUGCCAGUUAUUGUUGGCGUCUUCUUCAACAAUGAGUUUACCGCUGUUUUGACUGAGUACUUUUUGUUUCUGUGCCCCUCCCUGAGUGUUACAUGAGCUUGUGAGCAUUGUUUUCAGGCAAUUACAGUCAAUCAUGUGUUGGUUUUUUCUACCUCUCUCCAGGGCUCCCAGGACUGGCCACCAAGAUGACUGAAUCUCAUUUUGAGGGUCCUGUUCAUUGUGUUCUCUCUACAUGUGAGGUUCUUAUCGGAAUUAAAUGUGGCAUAAAGAUGAACGCUGCCUGGCCCUGGCAGCCUGAACCCUUAUUCUAGUGGUGAAAAAGAAAGAAGGAUUGGCUUUUUGCAUGUUUGGCCUGUUUCAGCCUGGAGAUUGAUGGUCAGCGCGUGAAGUCCCGGCAGUCCCUGCACGACGGAACGAAAUGUGAUCGUGAGCGCUGCAUACCGUCACAUCAGAGCGUCAGGACGUCGCAAACACUUCCUGGCAUUCCUGUCGGCGCUCAGAUGCAGCGAGAGAGAACCUUGUCAUGUGUUCCAGCUCUGUGAUCUGUUGCCCAUCUCACACACACACACACACACACACACACACACACACACACACACACACACACACACACACACACACACACACACACACACACACACACACACACACACACACACACACACACACACACACACACACACACA